rnacentral:rRNA from 1 species
UAACGACUCUCGACAACGGAUAUCUUGGCUCUCGCAUCGAUGAAGAACGUAGCGAAAUGCGAUACUUGGUGUGAAUUGCAGAAUCCCGUGAACCAUCGAGUCUUUGAACGCAAGUUGCACCCGAAGCCAUUAGGCCGAGGGCACGUCUGCUUGGGCGUCUCACA